UACGUAGGGGGCUAGCGUUGUCCGGAUUUAUUGGGCGUAAAGAGCGUGUAGGCGGCCAGGUAGGUCUGCUGUGAAAACUCGAGGCUCAACCUCGAGAUGUCGGCGGAGACCAUCUGGCUAGAGUCCGGAAGAGGAAAGUGGAAUUCCUGGUGUAGCGGUGAAAUGCGCAGAUAUCAGGAAGAACACCGGUGGCGAAAGCGCUCUGCUGGACCUUAACUGACACUGAGGGACGAAAGCUAGGGGAGCGAAUGGG
rnacentral:rRNA from 1 species